rnacentral:rRNA from 1 species
GACGUAGGAGGCGAGCGUUAUCCGGAUUUAUUGGGCGUAAAGGGCGUGUAGGCGGUUCUUUAAGUCUUUGGUGAAAUCUCCCGGCUUAACUGGGAGGAUGCCGAAGAAACUGGAGGACUUGGGGCAGCAGAGGGAAGUGGAAUUCCCGGUGUAGUGGUGAUAUGCGUAGAGAUCGGGAGGAACACCAGUGGCGAAGGCGGCUUUCUGGGCUGUACCUGACGCUGAGGCGCGAAAGCGUGGGGAGCAAACAGG